rnacentral:rRNA from 1 species
UCCACGCCGUAAACGAUGUCUACUAGCCGUUGGGGGACUUGAUCCCUUAGUGGCGCAGCUAACGCCAUAAGUAGACCGCCUGGGGAGUACGGCCGCAAGGCUAAAACUCAAAGGAAUUGACGGGGGCCCGCACAAGCGGUGGAGCAUGUGGUUUAAUUCGAUGCAACGCGAAGAGCCUUACCUACCCUUGACAUCAUCAGAACUUGUUAGAGAUAACUCGGUGCC